rnacentral:rRNA from 1 species
UGGUCAUGUACCGGCGACGUGUCUAUCAAGUGUCUGCCUUAUCAACUUUCGAUGGUAGUUUAUGUGCCUACCAUGGUUGUUACGGGUAACGGAGAAUAAGGGUUCGACUCCGGAGAGGGAGCCUGAGAAACGGCUACCACAUCCAAGGAAGGCAGCAGGCGCGCAAAUUACCCACUCUCGGCAUGAGGAGGUAGUGACGAAAAAUAACGAGACCGUUCUCCAAUGAGGCCGGUUAUCGGAAUGGGUACAAUUUAAACCCGUUAACGAGGAUCUAUGAGAGGGCAAGUCUGGUGCCAGCAGCCGCGGUAAUUCCAGCUCUCAAAGUGUAUAUCGUCAUUGCUGCGGUUAAAAAGCUCGUAGUUGGAUCUGCGCUUGAGGACUCGGUCCACCCUUUCGGUGCUGAACUGGGCUCCUCGGCUACAAUUGUGCUGGUUUUCCCUACGUUGCCUUUACCGGUCGCGUAGGGUGGCUAGCGAGUUUACUUUGAAAAAAUUAGAGUGCUUAAAGCGGGCUUUAUUGCCUGAAUAUUUGUGCAUGGAAUAAUAGAAUAGGAUCUCGGCUCUAUUUUGUUGGUUUUCUGAUCUGAGAUAAUGGUUAAGAGGGACAGACGGGGGCAUUCGUAUCGCUGCGUGAGAGGUGAAAUUCUUGGACCGUAGCGAGACGCCCUACUGCGAAAGCAUUUGCCAAGAAUGUCUUCAUUAAUCAAGAACGAAAGUCAGAGGUUCGAAGGCGAUCAGAUAC